GCCCGGCUAGCACAAGGCAGUGCAGGAGUUUUGUACACUUCCGAUCGGGGUUCGAUCCCUCGGCUGGGCACCA
rnacentral:tRNA from 1 species